rnacentral:lncRNA from 1 species
AUAAAUCUGCAGUUCCUGAAAAUCUGGUAGCAUUAAUUACAAAGUGGUUAACGGAACAUCCAUCACUUUGUUAUACUGCCAUUAUCACCAAUCUACAACCUGCACUGCCUUUAGGAGGAAUACCAAUGCCUGCUUUAACGCCUUAUGUUGGUCUUCUGAAGUGGUGUAUAUGCUGCCCUUUAAAUAACAAUACCUCUAGCUUGUAUUCACAGCUACAUCUAGCAUUACUACAGAGCCUAGAGGAAAGUUUCCAUUCCAAAUUGAUACCUCAGCCACGAAACAUUAUACCUGUUCAAAUUCUGUCAAGUUUUAUACCUAUUCUAGUCAACAAAGUUAAACAGUUGAGCAAGCAGCAUCCAAAUGACUCAGAAGUGGAGAAAAAUAUUCAGUUAUCAUUAGACAGGUUAGCACAAGCAAUACAAGUAGCUUUGGCAACGGAGUCACUUUUUGGGAACAAAGGUAAGAAAACAUGGAAUUCGCAAUUUAAUUAUACGUAUGCAGAAUUGGAAGUUACACUCGGCCCAAAAUUCCUCCUUUACCUUAUUGCUUUUUUACAACAUUAUACCCCAAACACUCUGUUUUUCCCUAUAAAUAUGCAACAUGUUGAGUUCAACUAUGCUAAAGUCACACUUGAUCCUAGGCAUUAA